AACUAUCGUAUAACCCCUACCCCCAAUCGUCGUCCAAAAUUACCCCAUCCCCAGGCCUGUGUAACGCCGCCAUCGGAAAUCGCCCACGGUGGCGGCCCACCUCCGUUCAAUACCAAAAUAACACCCCGGAAUCCCCUUUUCUUCCUCAUCUCGAAUCUGGAAAUCGUUUCCUUCAAAUCGUGACCCAGCUUGUCGAAUAUCAAAUCAAAAGUUUUCCAGUCAAAGUGUCACCUUGCCCAAACACCACCAAAUUAACACCCCAUGACCGCCUAACCCUCCUCUACCCAACCCCGACCCUUGAAUGUGCCUAGAACGGGUCAAAUAUGAGUUUGAAUAUUUCCGGCUAAAACCCUAGUUGCCCCAAUCCGCUUCAAAUUAAGACCCUGUGAUUCCCAUCCAUUCCUCAUAAGGAUUUCAACUUUAUUGAGUUCAAGUACCACUGAAAUAAGGCGAAGUUCGAAUUUAAGAGUCGGCCAGUAAGUUUUCCCUUCUUGUGUUUUUUUUGGUUGUUUUGUUUUUGUUUUGAUAUUAAUUUUAAGUUUGAUUAAGUAUUCAAGUAUUUUAAGCCUAGUUUGUUCAUCUUAAUUCAAUGGAUUUUCUUCUAGUUAUGGCUAAUAUAUCCGUUUUGAUUAGUCGAUUCCCUUCCAUGUUAAGCUUAUGUCAGUUUAAGUUUUUUUUUGUGUGGAAUUGUUGAUGUUAAUCUUGUUAUUAGUCCCUUUUCUUUGAUAUCUUCAUUUGCUAUUGGUUAAGUUCAGCAGAGUUUAAUAAUUGAUUCUUAUUUUUAUUAUUAUGAUCUUUAAGUUUCAUCGAUAAUUAGAUAAGUGGUGAAUUAGGAUUACAUUGUGCAUGUUGAAGUUCAAUUCACAAGUAAGAGAGCUGUUAGGUUAUAGUUGCAAAUUCGUUGAGCUUCAAGGAUAUUUAGCUAAUUGUAGAUGGAACUAGAACUAUAAUAGGGUCAAAGGUAGGUUUUCAAUAAUUGUAAGGGACUAACUUGUGUCACAAGUUAGAAAAUAAAGGGCUAACUGCAUAAGAUUGAGGGGGCUGUACUGUAAAUAAAAAACUUCAGGCUGCCCUCACUUUGCCUAUAUAAGGGCACAAAUAGUGCAUCCAAAGAAAAACGUUUUGGAGCUCAAAAAUUCCCCCCAAAGCUCUCUGCAAAUCCGAGCCUCAAUUUGAAUUGCAAAGCCAUAUAAAUUCUUCUAGAGUAGACCUCUUCUUUUAGAUCUGAUUGUUCUGCCAGAAAAUCCCAAAAAUAAAAACAAAAUCAGUAGAAAUCCAAAAACAUUACUGUUACAUUGGUUUUUAUUCAGUGAGAUUCAGAUUUCAAGUCUCUAGGUCAUAUUAGGAACAAAACUAUUUGAGUUUUUCUCUGUUUUCUGUUCACUAGAUUCAUUUUGGAUUACUUGACACUAUUUUGGUUUUGCCUGUUGAUUUUGUUGCACUCCUGGUUUAUUCCUGGGCAUUGUGGUGUUGUUUGAGUAGAUCUACUGGUUCUAUUUGGUUUUCUAAAGCCUUUCUGGGCUGUUGCAUUUCGCUGGACUGCAUUUGAUUUAUGCUUUUGGCUGUUGCUUUCAAUAAUCCAGGUACACGUUUGUGACUUUCAAGCUUUUGAAUAUGAAGUGGAAUGCUGUUUGAGGAGAUCUAUUAACUUCAUGCCUUGUUUUAAUUUUAGUGUAUAGAACAUUAUGUUAAUUUGAGUUACCUGUAUAAAGUGGACAAUAAGAAUAAUUAGACGUGUUCCCGGAGACGUGAAAACUCAUUAGCUAUUAGUAGUUUACUUUGGUUGAGCUUGGGUUGCUAGUGUGAUAAAGAAUCUCAGUGGGCCUUCAUAUGCAUUCCAUUGAGUAUCUAUUAGUAGUUUAAUUUGGUUGAGCUUGGGUUGCUAGUGUGAUGAAGAAUCUCAAUGGGCCUUCAUAAGCAUUUCAUUGUUUGUUUUUGAUUGUUAAACCUGGAAUCAUCAAGUUAUAGUUUUCACAUAGCUAGUAUCUGUUUAGCUUUGAGUUAUUUCGAAUUUAAAAGAAGAAUCAGAAACAUUUGUAUUUGGCUCAGAAUUUGAAAUCUAGUCUAAUUUCAGACUUUAACCUGUGUUGUGCCUCAGCAAUUCACAUAUUAGUUAAUAUGUAAGUUUUAAUAACUUUAGGUUAA
rnacentral:lncRNA from 1 species